rnacentral:rRNA from 1 species
UACGUAGGGGGCGAGCGUUGUCCGAAGUUACUGGGCGUAAAGCGCGCGUAGGCGGGCUUUUAAGUCUGAUGUGAAAGGUUCAGGGCUCAACCCGAACAGUGCAUUGGAUACUGGAAGCCUUGAGUUUGGGAGAGGGAAGCGGAAUUCCUGGUGUAGCGGUGAAAUGCGUAGAUAUCAGGAGGAACACCGAUGGCGAAGGCAGCUUCCUGGCCUAAAACUGACGCUGAGGUGCGAAAGCGUGGGGAGCGAACGGG